UGCUUACCAUGCAGUCGAGCGGAAGGCCCUUCGGGGUACUCGAGCGGCGAACGGGUGAGUAACACGUGAGCAACCUGCCCUAGGCUUUGGGAUAACCCUCGGAAACGGGGGCUAAUACCGAAUAGGACCUUCCCCCGCAUGGUGGGGGGUGGAAAGUUUUUCGGCCUGGGAUGGGCUCGCGGCCUAUCAGCUUGUUGGUGGGGUGAUGGCCUACCAAGGCGACGACGGGUAGCCGGCCUGAGAGGGCGACCGGCCACACUGGGACUGAGACACGGCCCAGACUCCUACGGGAGGCAGCAGUGGGGAAUAUUGCACAAUGGGCGGAAGCCUGAUGCAGCGACGCCGCGUGAGGGAUGACGGCCUUCGGGUUGUAAACCUCUUUCAGCAGGGACGAAGCGCAAGUGACGGUACCUGCAGAAGAAGCGCCGGCCAACUACGUGCCAGCAGCCGCGGUAAGACGUAGGGCGCGAGCGUUGUCCGGAUUUAUUGGGCGUAAAGAGCUCGUAGGCGGCUUGUCGCGUCGACCGUGAAAACUUGGGGCUCAACCCCAAGCCUGCGGUCGAUACGGGCAGGCUAGAGUUCGGUAGGGGAGACUGGAAUUCCUGGUGUAGCGGUGAAAUGCGCAGAUAUCAGGAGGAACACCGGUGGCGAAGGCGGGUCUCUGGGCCGAUACUGACGCUGAGGAG
rnacentral:rRNA from 1 species